CUCAGAUCAUUCUAACUUUAGCCAUAAUAAGUUGUCUGAGUUGAUGGAGCCUUGGACUAGGAUGCUUCCAUCUUUACUCAACGCUUCUGGUAUGUUUAAAGGACACCCCAAGUUGAAAAUAGCUAGACCGAAGAUCACCGUUCCAAACUUUGAUUGGCGGCGCAUGUCCACUGAUAUUGUCCCACAGUCUAGAACCAGCGGAGAUUGCGGUGUAUUCGCCAUCAAACACUUGGAGUUCAUUCUUGGAGACAUUCCCUUAUCAUAUGCCAUCGAGGACAACAUUCAGUACUUCAGGGAUAAAUUAUGCAUCGACAUUUUUUAUGAGAAUGUGUACCCUUGAUGUUAGAACAUUUAUUUUGAUUUCGAUGACACACAAUAGUAUAUUUCUCCUUAGUAUUGUAUAUAAAAAAUGUCGUUUCGAUUAACAAA